GAUGAACGCUGGCGGCGUGCCUAAUACAUGCAAGUCGAGCGAACAGACGAGGAGCUUGCUCCUCUGACGUUAGCGGCGGACGGGUGAGUAACACGUGGAUAACCUACCUAUAAGACUGGGAUAACUUCGGGAAACCGGAGCUAAUACCGGAUAAUAUAUUGAACCGCAUGGUUCAAUAGUGAAAGACGGUUUUGCUGUCACUUAUAGAUGGAUCCGCGCCGCAUUAGCUAGUUGGUAAGGUAACGGCUUACCAAGGCAACGAUGCGUAGCCGACCUGAGAGGGUGAUCGGCCACCAUGGAACUGAGGCACGGCCAGACUCCUACGGGAGGCAGCAGUAGGGAAUCUUCCGCAAAGGGCGAAAGCCUGACGGAGCAACGCCGCGUGAGUGAUGAAGGUCUUCGGAUCGUAAAACUCUGUUAUUAGGGAAGAACAAAUGUGUAAGUAACUAUGCACGUCUUGACGGUACCUAAUCAGAAAGCCACGGCUAACUACGUG
rnacentral:rRNA from 1 species